rnacentral:lncRNA from 1 species
GGGACAUUAGCAGCCAAGGUCAUCAUCCUCUGAUCUAAAUGUCACUCAGGCAUCCAGCAGUGGGGAGCCACUGAGCAUGGGUGGGAAGGCACUGAGGAGGGACACCCAGAGGCCAUGUGGGCAUUCUUUACAGUCUCCAGGGAAGGGUGGCCAUGGCCUGGUCCUGGGAGAGAGGUGGCCCAGUCACAAGAGAUCAUAGCCACAGAAGCACCCGGGCCAGGAACGCUACCAGAAGAAACAAGCGCUGACGCAGGGCUGCGGCUUCCGGGGGAAGGAAGCUCGGAAUCUCCAAGAAGCUCUGACUUCUUCAUAGACGCACACCCGAGGUGCUCACCUGGGGAGCAGCACCGCCUUACUGGGGGGUGAGGGCUCCCCUAGGGGUGCCUGGGACCCAACCACAUGGACUUGCGCACUCAGAUAUUCUCUCCAGAGAUGCUCGUGGCUGGACAUGGUGGUGCACACCUAUAACCCCAGCACUCUGGAGGCUGAGGCAGGAGGAUUGUAAGUUUGAGCCUGAGCAUGAGCAACUUAGCUCAAGACCCUGCAUCAAAAUGAAAAUGAAAAAUAAAAAUGGACUGUGG